rnacentral:rRNA from 1 species
AAUGAACGCUGGCGGCAGGCCUAACACAUGCAAGUCGAACGGAUCCUUCGGGAUUAGUGGCGGACGGGUGAGUAACGCGUGGGAACAUACCCUUUGGUACGGAAUAGCCUCGGGAAACUGGGAGUAAUACCGUAUGUGGUCGAGAGACGAAAGAUUUAUCGCCAAAGGAUUGGCCCGCGUUGGAUUAGUUAGUUGGUGGGGUAAUGGCCUACCAAGCCGACGAUCCAUAGCUGGUUUGAGAGGAUGAUCAGCCACACUGGGACUGAGACACGGCCCAGACUCCUACGGGAGGCAGCAGUGGGGAAUCUUAGACAAUGGGGGAAACCCUGAUCUAGCCAUGCCGCGUGAUCGAUGAAGGCCUUAGGGUUGUAAAGAUCUUUCAGGCGGGAAGAUAAUGACUGUACCACCAGAAGAAGCCCCGGCUAACUCCGUGCCAUCCGCCGCGGUAA